rnacentral:rRNA from 1 species
GGGUUGUGAGGUUAAGCGACUAAGCGUACACGGUGGAUGCCCUGGCAGUCAGAGGCGAUGAAGGGCGUGCUAAUCUGCGAUAAGCGCCGGUAAGGUGAUAUGAACCGUUAUAACCGGCGAUACCCGAAUGGGGAAACCCAGUGUGACUCGUCACACUAUCAUUAACUGAAUCCAUAGGUUAAUGAGGCGAACCGGGGGAACUGAAACAUCUAAGUACCCCGAGGAAAAGAAAUCAACCGAGAUUCCCCCAGUAGCGGCGAGCGAACGGGGAGGAGCCCAGAGCCUGAAUCAGCAUGUGUGUUAGUGGAAGCGUCUGGAAAGGCGCGCGAUACAGGGUGACAGCCCCGUACACAAAAGCGCAUGUGCUGUGAGCUCGAUGAGUAGGGCGGGACACGUGGUAUCCUGUCUGAAUAUGGGGGGACCAUCCUCCAAGGCUAAAUACUCCUGACUGACCGAUAGUGAACCAGUACCGUGAGGGAAAGGCGAAAAGAACCCCGGCGAGGGGAGUGAAAAAGAACCUGAAACCGUGUACGUACAAGCAGUGGGAGCCCCACCACCAAAGCAUUUGCUGUACCGCGUUGACGGAGCGAAGCGACGUCAAACCGAUAAAACAGCAGUGUAAAGUGAGCCGCAGGGCGCUUUGCGCGACAGCGCAAAGGCAGGCGGUUUCGCGUAGCGAAAGCGAAUGCUUUGGGGUGGGGUGACUGCGUACCUUUUGUAUAAUGGGUCAGCGACUUAUAUUCUGUAGCAAGGUUAACCGAAUAGGGGAGCCGGAGGGAAACCGAGUCUUAAUUGGGCGUUAAGUUGCAGGGUAUAGACCCGAAACCCGGUGAUCUAGCCAUGGGCAGGUUGAAGGUUGGGUAACACUAACUGGAGGACCGAACCGACUAAUGUUGAAAAAUUAGCGGAUGACCUGUGGCUGGGGGUGAAAGGCCAAUCAAACCGGGAGAUAGCUGGUUCUCCCCGAAAGCUAUUUAGGUAGCGCCUCGUGAAUUCAUCUCCGGGGGUAGAGCACUGUUUCGGCUAGGGGGCCAUCCCGGCUUACCAACCCGAUGCAAACUGCGAAUACCGGAGAAUGUUAUCACGGGAGACACACGGCGGGUGCUAACGUCCGUCGUGAAGAGGGAAACAACCCAGACCGCCAGCUAAGGUCCCAAAGUCAUGGUUAAGUGGGAAACGAUGUGGGAAGGCCCAGACAGCCAGGAUGUUGGCUUAGAAGCAGCCAUCAUUUAAAGAAAGCGUAAUAGCUCACUGGUCGAGUCGGCCUGCGCGGAAGAUGUAACGGGGCUAAACCAUGCACCGAAGCUGCGGCAGCGACACUGUGUGUUGUUGGGUAGGGGAGCGUUCUGUAAGCCUGCGAAGGUGGCCUGUGAGGGUUGCUGGAGGUAUCAGAAGUGCGAAUGCUGACAUAAGUAACGAUAAAGCGGGUGAAAAGCCCGCUCGCCGGAAGACCAAGGGUUCCUGUCCAACGUUAAUCGGGGCAGGGUGAGUCGACCCCUAAGGCGAGGCCGAAAGGCGUAGUCGAUGGGAAACGGGUUAAUAUUCCCGUACUUGGUGUUACUGCGAAGGGGGGACGGAGAAGGCUAUGUUGGCCGGGCGACGGUUGUCCCGGUUUAAGCGUGUAGGCUGGUUUUCCAGGCAAAUCCGGAAAAUCAAGGCUGAGGCGUGA